UUUCCGUAGGUGAACCUGCGGAAGGAUCAUUAAAAAUUGGACUCCAUUGGUGAGUUCAUUAAUAAUCCCUACCCUUUGUGAAUUUGUUUGUUUGAAUAAUUUUUUUCCAAAAAAAAUUAUUGAAUGUCUUUCCUUGUUUUGGUGGAGCUUGUAAAGUGAAACCAGGCAGGGGAAUGGCAAACAAUAAUUAUUUUUGAAAAGACCUUUUUUUAAAAUUAAACUUUUUGUAUUCAUUUGUCUAAAAUUAAUUUUUAUAAUAUAAAAACAACUUUUGACAAUGGAUCUCUUGGUUCUCGCAACGAUGAAGAACGCAGCAAAAUGCGAUAAGUAGUGUGAAUUGCAGAAUACGUGAAUCAUCGAAUCUUCGAACGCAUAUUGCACUUUUUUAGUUUACUAAAAAAGUAUGUCUGUUUGAGUAUCAGUAAAAUAUUCUCAUAAAAAACAUUGUUUUUUUAUGGUUAUGAGUGUUUUACAACGAUAACAAGUUGUUUCACUUUAAAUUCUUUGUUAUCAAAAAAAUCAUUAAAAGCUAAUUUUAAAGAUUUUUUAAAAUUGGAUAAAAUUUUCCCGUAAAAAGGAAUAACCUAAACAAUUUUAAAAAAUUAAAAUUGGUUUGAUUUUUUUUGAAACCCAAAGGAAAAAAAACGAAAUUAACUUGAUCUCAAAUCAGAUAAGAGUACCCGCUGAACUUAAGCAUAUCAAUAAGCGGAGGAAAAGAAACUAACUAGGAUUCCCUCAGUAACGGCGAGUGAAGCGGGAAGAGCUCAAAUUUGAAAUCUUCAAGGUUUUACCUUGACGAAUUGUAGUUUAAAGAAGUGUUUUCUGUUGGAGUUUUGGUAAAAGUUCUUUGGAAAAGGACAUCAUAGAGGGUGAGAAUCCCGUAUUUGACCAUUAUCUCCAGCUUUGUGAUACACUUUCAAAGAGUCGGAUUGUUUGGGAAUGCAGUCCAAAAUGGGUGGUAAAUUUCAUCUCAAGCUAAAUACUGGCGAGAGACCGAUAGCGAACAAGUACCGUGAGGGAAAGAUGAAAAGAACUUUGAAAAGAGAGUUAAACAGUACGUGAAAUUGUCAAAAGGGAAGCGUUUGACACCAGUGUUGUUUUCUCGAAAAUCAAUUAAAAAAGGCCGGAUUUUGUGUUGUAUUGACUUUAUCAGCUUUCUGCACUUUUUCUUGUCUUUUUUAAUGCACUUUUCGUUUAACAAGUCAACAUCAAUUUCUUUUGUUGUAAAAGGGUCAUUGGAAGGUGGCUUUCUUUUCGGAGAAAGUGUUUAUAGCCUUUGGCCUCUGCAAUCGGAGAGAUUGAGGUCUGCAGCGUAGAUCCUUCGGGGUUAGAUACAUUUGUGCUAAGUUAUAGCCUUUCAUAGACAACUUGUUGACUAUGAUCAGUCAUGUAGCUUACUCGCUUAUGCUAUUUUACCUACGCUUAGGAUGUUG
rnacentral:misc_RNA from 1 species